rnacentral:tRNA from 1 species
GCACCUGUAGCUCAGCUGGAUAGAGCGUUGCCCUCCGGAGGCAAAGGUCAGAGGUUCGAAUCCUCUCAGGUGCG